AUGGCUCGCAUGGUGGUGUCGGUGCUGGCGAUCCUGCUCGCAUGUUCUGCCGUUGCAUCGGCGAGCUUCGACAAGGAGUUCGACGUUACCUGGGGUGACGGGCGCGGCAAGAUCCUCAACAACGGCCAGCUCCUCACGCUGGGGCUCGAUAAGAUCUCCGGCUCCGGGUUCCAGUCCAAGCACGAGUACCUCUACGGCAAGAUCGACAUGCAGCUCAAGCUCGUCGCCGGUAAUUCCGCCGGCACCGUCACCGCAUACUACCUGUCGUCGCAGGGUCCGACGCACGACGAGAUCGACUUCGAGUUCCUUGGCAACGCCACCGGCGAGCCCUACACGCUGCAUACCAACGUGUUCACGCAGGGGCAGGGCCAGCGGGAGCAGCAGUUCCUCCUCUGGUUCGAUCCCACAAACGACUUCCACACCUACUCCAUCCUCUGGAACCCAAAGCACAUCAUCUUCAUGGUGGACGACAUGCCGAUCAGGGACUUCAAGAACCUGGAGGGAAAGGGGAUCGCCUUCCCCAAGAACUAG
rnacentral:rRNA from 1 species